rnacentral:rRNA from 1 species
CAUGCAAGUCGAGCGGGUUUGUCCUUCGGGAUAAGCUAGCGGCGGACGGGUGAGUAACACGUAGGUAACCUGCCUUUAAGACUGGGAUAACUAUCGGAAACGAUAGCUAAGACCGGAUAACUGGUUUUCUCGCAUGAGAGAAUCAUAAAACACGGAGCAAUCUGUGGCUUGAAGAUGGGCCUGCGGCGCAUUAGCUAGUUGGUGAGGUAACGGCUCACCAAGGCGACGAUGCGUAGCCGACCUGAGAGGGUGAACGGCCACACUGGGACUGAGACACGGCCCAGACUCCUACGGGAGGCAGCAGUAGGGAAUCUUCCGCAAUGGACGCAAGUCUGACGGAGCAACGCCGCGUGAGUGAUGAAGGUUUUCGGAUCGUAAAGCUCUGUUGCCCUAGACGAACAGCAAGAGGAGUAACUGCCUUUUGUGUGACGGUAUAGGAGAAGAAAGCCCCGGCUAACUACGUGCCAGCAGCCGCGGUAAUACGUAGGGGGCAAGCGUUGUCCGGAAUUAUUGGGCGUAAAGCGCGCGCAGGCGGUCAUUUAAGUCUGGUGUUUAAUCCUGGGGCUCAACCCCAGUUCGCAUCGGAAACUGGAUGACUUGAGUGUAAGAGAGGAAAGUGGAAUUCCACGUGUAGCGGUGAAAUGCGUAGAGAUGUGGAGGAACACCAGUGGCGAAGGCGACUUUCUGGCUUAUAACUGACGCUGAGGCGCGAAAGCGUGGGGAGCAAACAGGAUA